rnacentral:lncRNA from 1 species
CCUGUGGUAUGGCUAAGCCACGAGCUGGAACAGGAACCAAGUGAGGCAGGCCCUGAGGAUAUAGACCUGUUUUAGACCCUGAGAGAGAACAGUUGGCAAAUAGAAGGUGGUAUCCACUGGGUAUGACAAGCAAGCAUGGAUCAGAAAAGCAGCUGGCUUUACAGAGUCUAAUGGAAUAAGUGAGAAGUCCUAAAGGUGGAUGAAUGUGGCAGUAGGAAUCGAGGAAGAUAUCUUGUACUUCUGAUGCUCUCAGGUGUAGGCUACUGAUGGUCAGCCAGCAUCAGGGAAGGCUGCCAGGAGUGAAGAGGUAGGGGAUUAAAGGACGUACUGACAAGGACCUGGCAGAGCUCUAAACCAAGAGGGACACUGGUGUAAAGUCUUUUUGUCAUUAAUUUAGCAAAUAUUUAUACCUACUGUGAAAAUGCUUUCAAGAGGAGGCGAAUUCUUGAUCUGAUUAUCAGAAGGAGAAGAAAGAAGAUGCCCAGUUACCAGCAUUGAGGCAUAUGAUCAGGGCUGGACUAACUAAGUACGGACCUCCCACCGUUUAGCUCAGUGAUAAAAUUCCACAAUAAAUUUUGACUUGAAAGAUUUUAGGAUAUCAUGAAAAUGGGAAUGACGAAUGAAGGCUGAGAUGAGGCAAAUAUUUGGCAAAUCCCGUG